ensembl:lncRNA
AUCUGCAGGGUUUAAUUGGAAACCCACCCUGGGUCUGUUUCUGUGUGCUUUACACUGUUCCCGGAAGACACAGGCCUGUGUAAAAGACUGAUGAGCUGACACACUGUGUUAGGACGUCCAAGAUUCUUUCUGCAGUGUAGGAUGAUGGAGAGCAGUGUGAAUGUGACGUGUGCAGAGAUUCAGAUCAGAGACGGGUUUGAGUUCAGAGUUCCUGCUGACAGAUUCACUCUCUUCCAUCAGUCUGACUGUGAACCGCUCUGGUACUCACAGGAUGAUCGUCUGAUAGCAGAUCCAUCAGAUCCUCAAACACUGAUUGAUCCUGUGAUUUCUGUGUCUUCUGAUCGUCUCGUCACGUCUCGCUGUGUGAAUCUGAUUCAUGAGAUCCGCUGUGAUGCUUCAGGAGUAAAUCAACCCAAUCUCUCUCUGCAUUCAUCUGUUUAAUAUUAAUGUAUUAUUAAAAUGCUGUUCUAAUACCUAUU